CAGGUCUGUGGUUGAAAGUCGAGGCCAGUCGCGGGCAAAACGAUCCACGUAAGCCGGACAAAGUCCGGUGAGCAUGGCGCGGUUUAGAAGUAAGUCCAGCCAGGAACACCUGAGAGAGGGACGCGUGAGGGGAAUGCACCCCAAGCAAAACCUCCAGCUGGCGGGUGUGGGGGCAAAAACCAGGUCAGCUGU
rnacentral:ncRNA from 1 species